UAUAUGGAUAUAGAAUAAACUCUGUCUGCUAAUAGUUUCUACAAUUGUGUCCUUGGUUGCUCUACAUAGAUCAUUCAAAAUCAUCUUUAGUGGAGAAUAAACGGUAGCCAGCACAAGUGUAAUAUCCCCUGUUGUUCUUCUUGUUGUUUUUCUGGUUCUUGCUACAGUGGUUAUACAGAGUUCACCAACACAAUUAUUUCAAAAUAACUGUUGUUUAUUCAUUCUUACGUUUGGCAUGGUUUCUGCAAAAAUAACUAACAAACUGAUUGUGGCACAAAUGUCGAAAAGUCCUGUAGAUUUUGUUGAUACCGCUUUUAUUGGUCCAAUGAUGAUAUUCGUGAACCAAUACAUGGGGUUACCAAUUUCUAAUGAAAACAUUGUACUUUGCGCAGCUUU